CCUACGGGAGGCAGCAGUGGGGAAUAUUGCACAAUGGGGGGAACCCUGGUGCAGCGACGCCGCGUGAGUGAAGAAGUAUUUCGGUAUGUAAAGCUCUAUCAGCAGGGAAGAAAAUGACGGUACCUGACUAAGAAGCCCCGGCUAACUACGUGCCAGCAGCCGGGGUAACACGUAGGGGGCAAGCGUUAUCCGGAUUUACUGGGGGUAAAGGGGGCGCAGACGGCUGUGCAAGUCUGGAGUGAAAGGCGGGGGGCCAACCCCCGGACUGCUGUGGAAACUGGAAGGCUGGAGUGCAGGAGAGGUAAGCGGAAUUCGUGGUGUAGCGGUGAAAUGCGUAGAUAUUAGGAGGAACACCAGUGGCGAAGGCGGCUUACUGGACUGCAACUGACGUUGAGGCUCGAAAGCGUGGGGAGCAAACAGGAUUAGAUACCCCAGUAGUC
rnacentral:rRNA from 1 species